rnacentral:rRNA from 1 species
AUUGAACGCUGGCGGCAGGCCUAACACAUGCAAGUCGAACGAGUGGCGGACGGGUGAGUAAUGUCUGGGAAACUGCCCGAUGGAGGGGGAUAACUACUGGAAACGGUAGCUAAUACCGCAUACCAUCGGAUGUGCCCAGCUGGGAUUAGCUAGUAGGUGGGGUAACGGCUCACCUAGGCGACGAUCCCUAGCUGGUCUGAGAGGAUGACCAGCCAACAUGGAACUGGGAACCGGUCCAGACUCCCACGGGAGGCAGCAGGGGGGAAUAUUGCAAAAGGGGGGCAAGCCGUAUGCAGCCAUGCCGGGGGGUUUGAAAAGGCCUUCGGGUUUUAAAAUACUUUCAGCGGGGAGGCGUUACCCGCAGAAGAAGCACCGGCUAACUCCGUGCCAGCAGCCGCGGUAAUAC